rnacentral:rRNA from 1 species
GUCCCUACUGUAAACGGUGUACACUUGCCGUGACCGGAUUUCACCCCGGUCGUGGCGGAGCAAACGCGUUAAGUGUACCGCCUGGGGAGUACGGCCGCAAGGUUAAAACUCAAAGAAAUUGACGGGGCCCGCACAAGCGGAGGAGCAUGUGGCUUAAUUCGAUGCAACGCGAAGAACCUUACCCAGGUUUGACAUAUACCUGCAAGACCCAUGAAAGUGGGUUUCCUUCGAGGGUGGUAUACAGGUGCUGCAUGGCUGUCGU